CAUGCAGUCGAACGAUGAAGCCUUUCGGGGUGGAUUAGUGGCGAACGGGUGAGUAACACGUGGGCAAUCUGCCCUUCACUCUGGGACAAGCCCUGGAAACGGGGUCUAAUACCGGAUAACACUCUGUCCCGCAUGGGACGGGGUUAAAAGCUCCGGCGGUGAAGGAUGAGCCCGCGGCCUAUCAGCUUGUUGGUGGGGUAAUGGCCUACCAAGGCGACGACGGGUAGCCGGCCUGAGAGGGCGACCGGCCACACUGGGACUGAGACACGGCCCAGACUCCUACGGGAGGCAGCAGUGGGGAAUAUUGCACAAUGGGCGAAAGCCUGAUGCAGCGACGCCGCGUGAGGGAUGACGGCCUUCGGGUUGUAAACCUCUUUCAGCAGGGAAGAAGCGAAAGUGACGGUACCUGCAGAAGAAGCGCCGGCUAACUACGUGCCAGCAGCCGCGGUAAUACGUAGGGCGCAAGCGUUGUCCGGAAUUAUUGGGCGUAAAGAGCUCGUAGGCGGCUUGUCACGUCGGAUGUGAAAGCCCGGGGCUUAACCCCGGGUCUGCAUUCGAUACGGGCUAGCUAGAGUGUGGUAGGGGAGAUCGGAAUUCCUGGUGUAGCGGUGAAAUGCGCAGAUAUCAGGAGGAACACCGGUGGCGAAGGCGGAUCUCUGGGCCAUUACUGACGCUGAGGAGCGAAAGCGUGGGGGAGCG
rnacentral:rRNA from 1 species